GAGAGGCCUUAGCUUAAUUAAAGUGUUUGAGUUGCAAUCAGGAGUUGUAAAUUAAAAUUUUACAGGUCUU
rnacentral:tRNA from 1 species